rnacentral:rRNA from 1 species
AGCAGCCGCGGUAAUUCCAGCUCCAAUAGCGUAUAUUAAAGUUGUUGCAGUUAAAAAGCUCGUAGUUGAAUUUCGGGGUUAGUAGGCUGGUCGUGCCACAGGUAUGUACUGGUCUUACUGACUUCUCCUUUCUGAAGAACUGUAAUGCCAUUAAUUUGGUGUUGCAGGGAAUCAGGACUGUUACUUUGAAAAAAUUAGAGUGUUUAAAGCAGGCUAACGCUUGAAUACAUUAGCAUGGAAUAAUGAAAUAGGACGUUCGAUCCUAUUUUGUUGGUUUCUAGGAUUGACGUAAUGAUUAAUAGGGAUAGUUGGGGGCAUUAGUAUUCAAUUGUCAGAGGUGAAAAUUCUUGGAUUUAUUGAAGACUAACUACUGCGAAAAGCAUUUGCCAAGGAUGUUUUCAUUAAUCAAGAACGAAAGUUAGGGGAUCGAAGACGAUCAGAUACCGUCGUAGUCUUAACCAUAAAACUAUGCCGACUAGGGAUCGGAUGAUGUUAAACUUUUUUAAUGACUCAUUCGGCG